UUUCAUGAAUAGUUAUAAUUUAUUUUUUUUUAAUUUUUAUAUCAAUAUGUUAAGUUAAACUUUAAUUUUUAAGUAAAAAUGAUUAAAUUAGUAUAAAUUUACUGUAAUUUUAAUUUGAAAGAUUAAGAUUAAGUUAAGGAAUUCGGCAAAUAAUUUUCUGCCUGUUUAUUAAAAACAUGUCCUUUUGUUAUUAUUUAAGGUCUAACCUGCCCAAUGAUUAUUUUAAUGGCUGCGGUAUUUUGACCGUGCAAAGGUAGCAUAAUAAUUAGUUUCUUAAUUGGAAGCUGGAAUGAAUGGUUUCACAAGAAAAUUUCUGUCUCUGUUUAAUUUUUAGAAAUUAACUUUUGAGUCAAAAGGCUUAAAUAACUUUUAAAGACGAGAAGACCCUAUAGAAUUUUAUAAAUAGUGUUUUUAUAUUUUUUGUUUAUGCUUAUUUAUCAUAUAUUAUUUAUUUUAUUGGGGUGAUAGAAAAAUUUAAUGAACUUUUUUUUUUGUUUUUCAUUUAUUUAUGA
rnacentral:rRNA from 1 species